UAAACAGCACCUUCGCCUGAGUUAGCUGACACAGGCCAGCCACAGGUUUUUAAUUGCACUGUAGACAUACCCCCUGUGUGUCUAAAGUGGGGAGUCAGGCUAGUCUGUUUUUGGAGGGAGGGUCCAGCUAGUCUUUGUUGGGGGAGGGAAGAGAAGCUGAUGUCUGUGUGUAAAUUCAUGCCCACAAAGUUGAGUGAAACAGUUGGGGUCUCAAACCAGAGACUCAAGAAGUCAACUUCUAGCAGGGAUCUUUCAUUGUGUGAUUUAGUGUUGGUAUGUGAAACACAGAAGAAAUCCCUUUCCUUUGUGACUUUCUCGUGCCUACUAAUCCUUCCUAUGCUCAACAAUGGACACAUGAAGACACAGCUUUUACAGUUGCAGUAAAGAAAAUCAUGUUUUGAAAUAAAGGAGAGUUUAUCUCAUCAGAAUACCAGAACCAUCCAACGCUGUAUGAAACAUGUACCCUUACUACUGGGAACUUCCAACAGGUCCAGAACUAUCUCUAAAGAAUCAUUGCUGCAGGAAAGGAAAUGAUUAAAAUUCCUCAGAGGCAAGCUCAAUUUACUGUUUACCGAAAAUUCAAUGUGAAUGAAAGAAUCUGGAUCGCCAUAACUCACACAUCUUCAUGCUUUCCCGGUCUGCAUAUGAGGUACUCCCGGACAUUGAAGAAUAAAAUUGAGGCCUAAUUAAACUAUCUCAAGUGUCUCCUCUCCUUUUUCCAGGAUGGCCAGACACAAGUAAAGUUUAUCCCAGGAUUGGCUACACACAUUGUCUUUGGUUUGAGAUCUGAGUACAAAUGACUUGGGGUUAUAUCCAAGCAAGCAAAUAAAAACAGCACAGGGGGUCAUGAGAAUAGAUUUCUGAGGGGAUUCCUGGUACCUCCAGCUUCUUGAUGGGCCAGAGAUACCAUGAAAGCAGCCUCUUUGAAGACACCUGCAAGUGAAAAAUAAUGGGGGAACAAGUUUAAUAAAUUCAA